CCUACGGGAGGCAGCAGUGGGGAAUAUUGGGCAAUGGGCGCAAGCCUGACCCAGCAAUGCCGCGUGAAGGAAGAAGGCUUUCGGGUUGUAAACUUCUUUGACAGGGGAAGAGCAGAAGACGGGACCCUGAAAACAAGCCACGGCUAACUACGGGCCAGCAGCCGCGGUAAUACGUAGGUGGCAAGCGUUGUCCGGAUUUACUGGGUGGAAAGGGCGUGUAGCCGGGAAGGAUAGUCAGAUGUGAAAUCCGGAGGCUCUACCGCCGACUUGCAUUGGAAACUGUUUUUCUUGAGUACUGGAGAGGCAGCCGGCAUUCCUUGUGUCGCCGUGAACUGCGUAGCUAUCAGGCGGACCACCAGUGGCGAAGGCGGUCUGCUGGACCGCACCUGACGGUGCGGCGCGCCCGCGUGGGGAGCAAACAGGAUUCGAUACCCUGGUAGUC
rnacentral:rRNA from 1 species